CGCGAAGAACCUUACCAAGGCUUGACAUGCACGGGAAAGUUCCAGAGAUGGUUCCCCCGCAAGGUCCGUGCACAGGUGGUGCAUGGUUGUCGUCAGCUCGUGUCGUGAGAUGUUGGGUUAAGUCCCGCAACGAGCGCAACCCUUGUCUUAUGUUGCCAGCGCGUUAUGGCGGGGACUCAUAAGAGACUGCCGGGGUCAACUCGGAGGAAGGUGGGGAUGACGUCAAAUCAUCAUGCCCCUUAUGUCUUGGGCUUCACGCAUGCUACAAUGGCCGGUACAAAGGGCUGCGAAACCGUGGGGUGGAGCGAAUCCCAAAAAGCCGGUCUCAGUUCGGAUUAGGGUCUGCAACUCGACCCCAUGAAGUCGGAGUCGCUAGUAAUCGCAGAUCAGCAACGCUGCGGUGAAUACGUUCCCGGGUCUUGUACACACGC
rnacentral:rRNA from 1 species